rnacentral:rRNA from 1 species
GACGAACGCUGGCGGCGUGCCUAACACAUGCAAGUCGAACGGAAAGGCCCUGCUUUUGUGCGGUGCUCGAGUGGCGAACGGGUGAGUAACACGUGAGUAACCUGCCCUUGACUUUGGGAUAACUUCAGGAAACUGGGGCUAAUACCGGAUAGGAGCUCCUGCUGCAUGGUGGGGGUUGGAAAGUUUCGGCUGUUGGGGUUGGACUGGCGGCUUAUGAGCUUGUUGGUGGGGGAGUGGCAUACCAAGGCUGUGACGGGUAGCCGGCCUGGGAGGGUGACCGGCCACAAUGGGCCUGAGGUACGACCCAGAGUGGAACGGGAGGCAGCGGUGGGAAACAUUGCACAAUAGGCGGACGCGGGAGACAACGGCGCCGCGUGCGAAAUGACGGCUUUCGGGGUGUAAACAGCUUUAGCCUGUAACGAAGCGUGAGUGACGGUACUGGAUAAAAAAGCACCGGCUAACUACGUG